rnacentral:rRNA from 1 species
UUAAAUUGAAGAGUUUGAUCAUGGCUCAGAUUGAACGCUGGCGGCAGGCCUAACACAUGCAAGUCGAACGGUAACAGGAAGCAGCUUGCUGCUUCGCUGACGAGUGGCGGACGGGUGAGUAAUGUCUGGGAAACUGCCUGAUGGAGGGGGAUAACUACUGGAAACGGUAGCUAAUACCGCAUAAUGUCGCAAGACCAAAGAGGGGGACCUUCGGGCCUCUUGCCAUCGGAUGUGCCCAGAUGGGAUUAGCUUGUUGGUGGGGUAACGGCUCACCAAGGCGACGAUCCCUAGCUGGUCUGAGAGGAUGACCAGCCA